CACACUGAGAGAAGGGAGGCCAGGGGGACUCCAGCCUAGCUGAGAUAGGGUGGGUCCUGUGGGGAGGGUCUCCAUCAGGCCCAGCCCUCGUUCUUUUGUUUAUCUUCACAGACAGCAACUAGGAGAACAGGCAGCCAAAUUUUUGGAUUUCUCCACUCUUGAUGAACAAAGAGACUGACCUGUCAGUCUCUAGCACUGUCUUUGCUGCGGACAUAAACAAUGUCGCUCAGAAACGGACAUGGCUCUCUGAUCCAUCUGGACUUCGUUUUUGUGCAUGGUGUUAGACUGAGUGUUGCUGCUGCUGCUGCUAAAUCGCUUCAGUC